CGCUUUCACUCCUACGGGAGGCAGCAGUGGGGAAUAUUGCACAAUGGGCGCAAGCCUGAUGCAGCCAUGCCGCGUGUGUGAAGAAGGCCUUCGGGUUGUAAAGCACUUUCAGUCGUGAGGAAGGUAGUGUAGUUAAUAGCUGCAUUAUUUGACGUUAGCGACAGAAGAAGCACCGGCUAACUCCGUGCCAGCAGCCGCGGUAAUACGGAGGGUGCGAGCGUUAAUCGGAAUUACUGGGCGUAAAGCGCAUGCAGGUGGUUUGUUAAGUCAGAUGUGAAAGCCCGGGGCUCAACCUCGGAAUAGCAUUUGAAACUGGCAGACUAGAGUACUGUAGAGGGGGUAGAAUUUCAGGUGUAGCGGUGAAAUGCGUAGAGAUCUGAAGGAAUACCGGUGGCGAAGGCGGCCCCCUGGACAGAUACUGACACUCAGAUGCGAAAGCGUGGGGAGCAAACAGGAUUAGAUACCCUGGUAG
rnacentral:rRNA from 1 species